ACUAGCAAAGGAACCUCAACCAGGAGGAAAGAACCGAAGCUCAAAGACUCACAGCAGCUCCGAUGGCGGUCCUUCAGCAGACAGCCGGACGCACCUGAUCACAGGACGUGAGGAGACCGUCAUCGAGACUCUAAACCAGCAGCAGGGCGUCAGCUGCAAAGUGACUGUUGUAAUUGCAACAAUAACAAAUAAAUAUAUUUCCACAUAUGAAUUAUUGAAUAUUUCUCUGUAAGAUAUUUGAUGUCUGGUCAGCUGCUUGAAACUGUUUCUAUUUCUUUCAUUGUUUGAAAGUGUGAGAGUUUACCUGUAGCCUCCAUGGUCACUGUAUCAUAGAUAUUAAAUACUAUGACGUUAAUCACUAAUGAUGUCAUCUUACAGUUUGUAGCCUCAUUGAUCACAAUAUUAUAUACACAAAAUACGAUGAUGUUAAUCACAACUAAUGUAGAGACACAGAAGAGCUUCAGGUACAAUUUCAAUUUAGUUUAUAGUGAUGUCUAUCAAUUUAACUGUACGAGGACACUUAUGGAAGGUAUCCAGUAAAAUAUGAACUGUUCAAUUGUUGAACCUUUAUAAAGCUAAUGCAAUGUGAUGGAAUACAACCGGCCUGAAUUGAAUGUUCUCCUUAUGUGUUUCGUCCAUCCAAUAUGAAUAAAUAUUAGAUACAACU